rnacentral:lncRNA from 1 species
AAACCCGUUUUUCAAAAUAUUAAAUAGUUUUGACGAAAAUCAUAGUUUAGUGGUUACAAUAAAUGAAAUAUGUUACGCGGGACAACCUAAAAAUCGCCGUUUUAAAAAAAUUAAGCUUGUCGCAUGCAGCAUAAAACAUAGUUUCAACAAUUAUUUUUUUCGUUUUUAUUUUAAAAAUCGUUAUUUUUUAAAAUACGUACAAUAACAAUGCAUAUGAUAUCACACAAUUAUAUA